UACGGAGGGGGCAAGCGUUAUUCGGAAUUACUGGGCGUAAAGCGCGUGUAGGCGGGGAUACAAGUCUGAUGUGAAAGCCCUGGGCUUAACCUGGGAAGUGCAUUGGAAACUGUAUUUCUUGAGUACUGGAGAGGAAGGGGGAAUUCCCGGUGUAGAGGUGAAAUUCGUAGAGAUCGGGAGGAAUACCAGUGGCGAAGGCGCCCUUCUGGACGGUUACUGACGCUGAGACGCGAAAGCGUGGGGAGCAAACAGG
rnacentral:rRNA from 1 species